UACGUAGGGAGCAAGCGUUGUCCGGAAUCAUUGGGCGUAAAGCGCGCGUAGGCGGCCCCAUAAGUCCGCUGUGAAAGUCAAAGGCUCAACCUUUGAAAGCCGGUGGAUACUGUGGGGCUAGAGUACGGAAGAGGCGAGUGGAAUUCCUGGUGUAGCGGUGGAAUGCGCAGAUAUCAGGAGGAACACCAAUAGCGAAGGCAGCUCGCUGGGACGGUACUGACGCUGAGGCGCGAAAGCGUGGGGAGCGAACAGG
rnacentral:rRNA from 1 species